AUUCAACUCUGUGUUUCAACAGUAAAAUACCUGAACUUUCAGAAGUAGCUGCUUGACGAAGAUAGCUGCUGUGAGUUCUUCAUUGAUCAGAAAAAUUCACUUUGACUGGAUUCUUACAAGAAAUGCCUGUUUUCCAGGGCCUCUGAAGCAUCUCACAAGAAGGCUGCAUUGGUCCUCUCACAUGCACUGGACAUUUGCAAGCUUUAAUGAAGAAAAAGACAUGGAGAAGAUACUUAUGUUACACAUACUUUUCUUCAGUAUUGGAAGGCUUGG